GAUGAACGCUGGCGGCGUGCCUAAUACAUGCAAGUCGAGCGAACAGACGAGGAGCUUGCUCCUCUGACGUUAGCGGCGGACGGGUGAGUAACACGUGGAUAACCUACCUAUAAGACUGGGAUAACUUCGGGAAACCGGAGCUAAUACCGGAUAAUAUAUUGAACCGCAUGGUUCAAUAGUGAAAGACGGCUUUGCUGUCUCUUAUAGAUGGAUCCGCGCCGCAUUAGCUAGUUGGUAAGGUAACGGCUUACCAAGGCGACGAUGCGUAGCCGACCUGAGAGAGUGAUCGGCCACACUGGAACUGAGCCACGGUCCAGGCGCCUGCGGGAGGCAGCAGUAGGGAAUCUUCCGCAGUAGGCGAAAGCAUGACGGAGCAACGCCGCGUGAGUGAUGAAGGUCUUCGGAUCGUAAAACUCUGUUAUUAGGGAAGAACAAAUGUGUAAGUAACUAUGCACGUCUUGACGGUACCUAAUCAGAAAGCCACGGCUAACUACGUG
rnacentral:rRNA from 1 species